ensembl:lncRNA EBLN3P endogenous Bornavirus like nucleoprotein 3, pseudogene
ACUUAGUACGCAUGCGCAUACCAGGCGCGACAGGUGGGCGGACACAGAAGGCGACGCCUAGGGCUGUGUUGUCCCGGAAGUGCCUUCUCUCCUCCCGGGUCUGCGCGGACGCGGCCUCCUUACCUCAUUUGUCCUCGCCCCUCCCCGUCCCUCUACGCGUUUUGGUCCCUGUUUGGUGCUUUCUGUUUGCAGCUACGGCAGUGAGUAUGUAUGUGACGGACCCCGAGUCACCCGCGGCCUGGGACCCCUGCCUACCCUCCGUCUCGCCAGCCGAGCUGUGGAACUAGCGCGUGCCCCCUCGCCGACCUCGGCGUCUCCGGUCCGCCCCUCACUUGUGGUGGGGCGCAGCUCCUGGUCCCUCAGCUGCGCGCCGCCCCACGCGGCCGGGCUGCGGGUCUAGGGGGUCCGCAUCUCCCUGGCUUUCCAAGGGCUAAGGUCGUGAUUCUAGGGCGGCUGGGCGUCCAGGGCCUCGGUGGGGGUGGCGUGUCUGCCCUUUUUAUCUCCCCGCAAGGCCCCCAGUCUUCUAGGGAAGCCAGUCAGUGAAGCGCGGAGGUCCGGGCGCGCCGAGAGAGAGUCCAGUCUUUGAGGACCGAGUAGUCCUGGGCCACCUCCCGCCUCUGCUGUCAGAAGCAGCAGCUGCCGCCGUGGAAUCCAAAAUUUCGGGAGCUGUGACCCUUUCCUCAUGUAAAACGAGUAGUCUUGGACGAUCUGGGCAUAGGAACCAAUCAGAAACAAUCGCUUCAGCAAUCAAGACCAUUGUUCAUCAUGGAGGAACCCAUGGAUACCUCUGAGCCUCUAUCUGCAUUACCAUUCACUGGGCAGCAGUCUUUUGAGCCAAGUGGCAAAUUUGGACAGUAUCCAUCGAUGCAGAUGAACCACAUCCAGGCACUGGGGAAGUGGAGGACAUAGAACAGCUCAAUCAGUGUUUGAUCCAACACUUCCAUCUCAUUAAGACAAGUUUGAUUUUUCUUUGCUUUUUAUUUCAUGGAAUACAUGAGAAUCUCUUAACUGUUGGAGUUUCCAAGGAGGCAUACCUCAUGACUUCAGUUAAUGGAAAGAACAAAACUAAAAUGCUGUAUGGCCAAAGCCACAAAGGGAAGGAUCCACAAUUUACAUUCUUGGAGCUAUCAUCUGUACUGUACUGUUGUGAUCUACUGAUUGGCAUUGGCAUAGUAGUAGGGGUCAAGUGACAGAAUCCGUGCCAGCAGUCUCCAGGUUCAGAAGCAAUUCAAGACCCUGAUGAUAGCUCUCCAGCAACCAACACAUGGUGAUUGUGCCAACUUGUUGCUCAGUUAUAAUGCAGGGCCAGUGAUUGGUUUAAGUGAAGACCAUGGUUGAGAUCAUUUGUCUUUGGUCUAAUAGAAUUUGAGUCUAGUAGAAUUUGAGUCUCCAGGGAAAGAGCUACUUGACCAAAUUAAACUAGUAGCAGGUAGAGCAUGAAUGACAGCAUAUUAUACCAUCAAGAUGUUCUUAGAGCAGUGUAUGGAUGGAUCGAUUGUACUGCCAUCAGUUGUGACUGACGUUGUAUUCAAGGAGAAAGAGAAACUUGUUUAGAAAGCACUUUGAAAGUUUUUUGAGUACGGGGGUGCCCUGUAUCACCCCGUUAUGGUUGAACUUUCUCCUUCAAAAUUACCAGACUUGGCAGCAGUGGCAAAUUAUUGGGCUAAAAGACUUAAUCAGACAUAUUCUGGGUUCAAGGCUCCUAAUAUAAUACCUGGUGCAAACAUUAUACUUCCACUCAUUCAGAUGGUUGCAUCCUGCCAGGCAUCCAGUGGGACUGGGAAUAUGGACACUUGAACAUUAAACAUCCUGAAGAAUUUUGGAAUGACAGGUUACAAGUGAACAUAAUCAGUUCUCUAUAUUAAAAAAAAAAAAAGAUUUGGGCAUAGAUUGGGCUCACAUAAUCUUUAGAGAGAUUUUUUCAUUUUUGUGAAAGUACAGAAAUUCUUAACUGCUUAUGAAAUGCUGAUUGUUAAACAGCAUCCACAGCUAUUUUGUGUUGUUUCCCUGACCCCACCCUGAAGAAAAGAAAAAUUAUGGCAUAUUGAAAACAGCAGUAUGAUGUAAGAGAAAAGAUCACAAAUUCCUUGAGGGUGGGUCUUUUCCAUACUCAUAAGCCUAUUUAUAAUAUUCAGAGUAAUUUAUUGACACAUAUUAAUAUUCCCUCCUAUCCCAUUAAUUGCCAAAUCAUCAAACAUUUAUUGAGCACCUACUCUGUGUAGGGUGUAAGCAGUACUGGGGACUUACAGUGAUAAAAGACAUAGUUUUAGCCUUAAGUGAUGUACUGUUUCACUGAAGAGAUGGAAUAUAAGAAGCCAAGUAAUUUAUGGAAUUCUCUUCUUUGUUUUUCUUUUUUUUUUUUGGCAGUGGAGUCUUGCUCUUUAAAUAGAGCAAGGCUAGUCUGGAACUCCUGGGCUCAUGUGGUCCUCCCGCCUUAGCUUUCAGUGUAGCUGGGACUACAGGUGUGAACACAGCUUGGAAAUCUCUUAACCAUGGGAGUUAAGUCUCAAAAUUCUGGUGAUACAAGUGGUUGAAACUUAAAACUGUAUUUAAAAAAUAGGAUUCGUGAAUUUGAGAUAGUUCAUAAGUCUGCAAAAGGCUGUAUAAAUACAUAUUUUACAUUUACUAUUAUUAAUUUUGUAGUAAAUUUGAGUACAGCACUCUCUUUAUCUGUGGAAACUUCAGACUCUCCCCUAUUACUUUAAUUUCAGUGAGACAUUAUUAAAUAUAAGUGGGCUUACACAUUUGUUUUGCUUUACUGACAAAUAAUACACAACUUGGAGGCUUUUUUUUCCUUUCUAUUCUUCCUCUAAAUGUUCAACACUUUUCUGAUUUUGUGAUUUGAGGUUGUUUAAUAGCUUCCUGAGGCUCCAUUGAGACCGUAUAUACGUGACACUUAACAGUCUAGCCUUCCUCGGUACAUAUAGAUAUAUGAUGGUGGCUUUGCCUGUAGUAAAUUCAUGCCAAAACAUAGGCUUUCAGUGCCUAUUACAUAUGGCUUUCAGCUCUCUCUACUGAGGGAUGUAGGAGUUUAUUUCUGAGGUCUGAGCCUCUUUUCCUUUACUUCCUUUACUCUUUCCUAAGCCUUCUUUAUAAAAACUAUGCAUGUUCUAUUGUUUUCCUUUUUGAUUCCCUUUCUUUUAUUAUCCCCAGUAGGAGUGACUUGUAAUUCUCAUAUGUUAGAAAGGCAGAUCUCCUGGUUGAAGAAAAGAUCCACCCAAGCAAGUCAGCAUGUUUAAUAAUUUUUGAGGGGGAUCUCAAAUGUGGGAAGGAUUGUUAUAUAAGACAACCAAAUGAUGACAUGAGACAAUAAAUGCUAUAGGAAUUAUGGAGGAAUAAUUAGCUAUUUAUUUUCUUGGUUAGGGAAGAGAUAUUAUUAGUUGUAGAAGUAAUUACUAACUUCUACAUUUUUUAUUGUGGAAAUCAAAAAUAUAUAUAUGAAAAUAAAAUGUUAUAAUUGACUUCAGUGUCCCAUAAACCAGCUUCAACAAUUACCAAAUUGUGACCAAUCUUUACACACAUGCACAGGUGUCCCUCAGUAUCUGUGGGGCAUUGGUUCUAGGACCACUUAUGGAUACCAACAUCUAUGGAUGCUCAAGUCCCUGAUAUAAAAUGGUGGACUAUUUGCAUAUAACCUGUGUACAUCCCGUAUUAUUUAAAUCAUCCCUAGAUCACUUAUAAUACGUAAUACAAUGUAAAUGCCAUGUAAAUAACUGUUAUACUGUAUUAAGGAAUAACAACAAGAAAAAUGUACAUGUUCAGUACAGACGCAAUUUUUUUUGUGUGUGGAAUAUUUUCAUUCCAAGGUCAGUUGAACCCAUGGACAUAGGAGGCUGACUGUGUGUGUGUGUGUGUGUGUGUGUGUGUGUGUGUGCAUACAGACACACAUAUUUCUGAAAUGUAAAUAUUCUCUUCUUAAAAAAAUUAUUAUCACAGCUAAACAAAUUACCAGUAAUUCUUUUAUCCUCAUAUACCCGGUGUUCAGAUUUUCUAGAUUGGCUCCUAAUUUUUUUACAGAUUAUUUGAAUCUGAUUCAAUUCAUGUACUGUAAUGUUUGAUAACUUAAGUACCCUUUAUAGGUUCUCUUUUACCUCUUCUUUAUUAAAUUCCUUGUAAUUUGUUGUACUAAAUAGAUUGUCUUCUAGAAUUUCCUGUAGUCUGAAUUAUGUAGUAUUGUUUCACAUGUUCCAGUGUCCUCUUAUUUCCUGUGAGUUGGUAGUUAGAUCUAGAAGCUUGAUUAAAUUCAGAUUUUCUCUCUUUAGAUCAUCAACUUUAGAUCAUCAACUUGGAUCAUUUGUUUCAUUUUGCUUUUGAUAUGUUGUUUUUUAGAAUUACCUCUUAAAAUUUUGAUUUAAUUUUAUAAUCAUGUAAAAUGUUUAUAAAUUUCCAAAUUCAGAUCAGCAAAACACAAUAAAAUCUAUUCAGAGAAGGCAAACCUUCUGUCCAGUCUCCAUCCUGUUCCUGCUCUUCCCCUUAUGGGUAACCAUUAAGAGAAAAUUGGUGGUUGGUCCUUACAUUUAAAAAUAUAUAUAAUCAAAAAACUGUAUAUCUUUGUACCCUCUUUCUUAAAUUUAUUUUAUUUAUUUAUUUAUUUAUUUAUUUAUUUAUUUAUUUAUUUUAGACAGAGUUUCGCUCUUAUUGCCCAGGCUGGAGUGCAGUGGCGCAACCUUGGCUCACUGCAACCUCUAACUCCCAGGUUCAAGCAAUUCUCCUGCCUCAGCCUCCCGAGUAGCUGGGAUUACAGGUGCUCGUCACCACGCCUGGCUAAUUUUUUGUAUUUUUAGUAGAGAUAGGGUUUCACCAUGUUGGCCAGGCUGGUCUCGAACUCCCGACCUCAGGUGAUCCGCGUGCCUCGGCCUCCCAAAGUGCUGGGAUUACAGGCAUGAGCCACUGUGCCCAGCUUCCCUCUUUCUUAAUAAGUUGUGGAAUACUAUGUGCUCUUUUAAAAUGAUUGAUGAAUAGUAGUA